AAAGAGGGUCCUUGUGGCGUCCUCUACAUCCUGAGGGUUCCCGGACAGAGGCAAGGCCAGACAUUGAAGGUGACUGUGUUUUGGAAAGGAGUCACCUGUUUCGGUUUGCUAUUGACCUUCCGACAAGUCUGGAAAGCCUCUG